GACGAACGCUGGCGGCGUGCUUAACACAUGCAAGUCGAACGCUGAAGCUCAGCUUUUGUUGGGUGGAUGAGUGGCGAACGGGUGAGUAACACGUGAGUAACCUGCCCCCUUCUUUGGGAUAACGCCCGGAAACGGGUGCUAAUACUGGAUAUUCACUGGUCUUCGCAUGGGGGUUGGUGGAAAGGGUUUUUCUGGUGGGGGAUGGGCUCGCGGCCUAUCAGCUUGUUGGUGGGGUGAUGGCCUACCAAGGCUUUGACGGGUAGCCGGCCUGAGAGGGUGACCGGUCACGUUGGGACUGAGAUACGGCCCAGACUCCUACGGGAGGCAGCAGUGGGGAAUAUUGCACAAUGGGCGCAAGCCUGAUGCAGCGACGCCGCGUGAGGGAUGGAGGCCUUCGGGUUGUGAACCUCUUUCGCUCAUGGUCAAGCCGCAACAAUGGUUGUGGUGAGGGUAGUGGGUAAAGAAGCGCCGGCUAACUACGUG
rnacentral:rRNA from 1 species